CUAAUACAUGCAAGUCGAACGGUAAGUUAGUUGCUUGCAACUAACACGAGUGGCGCACGGGUGAGUAACGCGUACGCGACCUGCCCUCAAGAGGGAAAUAGCCCUGGGAAACCGGGAUUAAUGUCCCAUGUGAUUGUAUUUCUAAGGGAUAUAAUUAAAGGAGCGAUCCGCUUGAGGAUGGGCGUGCGUGCUAUUAGCUAGUUGGUGAGGUAAUGGCUCACCAAGGCGACGAUAGCUAGGGGGCGUGAGAGCGUGACCCCCCACACGGGUACUGAGACACGGACCCGACUCCUACGGGAGGCAGCAGUAAGGAAUAUUGGACAAUGGGGGCAACCCUGAUCCAGCCAUCCCGCGUGCAGGAAGACGGCCCUAUGGGUUGUAAACCGCUUUUAUUAGGGAAGAAUAGCAUCAAUGAAUUGGUGUAUGACGGUACCUAAAGAAUAAGCACCGGCUAACUCCGUGCCAGCAGCCGCGGUAAUACGGAGGGUGCAAGCGUUAUCCGGAAUCACUGGGUUUAAAGGGUGCGUAGGUGGAAUAAUAAGUCAGGCGUGAAAGGUUACAGCUUAACUGUAGACUUGCGUUUGAUACUGUUAUUCUUGAAUUAAGAUGAGGUUGGCAGAAUGCGACAUGUAGCGGUGAAAUGCAUAGAUAUGUCGUAGAAUACCGAUUGCGAAGGCAGCCAACCGGACUUAAAUUGACACUGAGGCACCGAAAGCGUGGGGAGCGAACCAGGAUUAGAUACCCUGGUAGUCCACGCCCUAAACGAUGUUCACUCGAUG
rnacentral:rRNA from 1 species